rnacentral:lncRNA from 1 species
GUCGUUUCAUUGCCAACUGUGAGGAUGAAGCAGCUUCAUGGCCGGAGAUCGGGUGCCUCCCAUCAGUUUCCCUUUUCAGCAAUAGAGGCCUUGGAGGCCUUUCUACCUGCGUUGCAUCCUGUGGCUGGACCACUCCAACGAUCUCGGCGGAAUCGUUACACAGGAAGAAGUCUGGCUGGCCCCAAGCCUGGUGCAAAAUGAAGAAAUGGCACUCCACAUCAAUUCAUGUUUACUUGUCGUCAUAACCAGUCUGUUAGCUUAAUUUUUGGUUCUUUCUAUUGAAUUCUCAAGAAAGGUACCAACUCUGUCAUUCAUUGAAAACAAAUUUUUGCACUUGGGGAUGCAGCCAUGCACAAAGCCUUUGAGCUCAUUAAUAUCUUUAUUUUUUAAAGAAAGUGCAGCUCCUGCGUGGAGCAAUAGGUUGAAUAAGACGAGGGUAAAUGAAAAGAUGGCGAAAUUAGUCAUCAACAGUUGUCCAACAAAGGAAGUCUCAAGCUGGAGGCAACAUCUUUGCAAGAGAACCAAAUGGCUCCAGCCUGAGACAUUCGUUGUUCAACCUGGCAAGUCUCCUUCUCGAAAUAUUUCCUCUAG